rnacentral:lncRNA from 1 species
CAGAGGCCACUUGUCUUUUCUGUAGCCUGUCAAGGCUGCUAAAGCAGGGGGGCUGAGUGAGGGUCUGGUUCCUUCCAUUUCUAGAAGCGAAACCUUUUAGUUUAGUUUUCCCCUUUCAGGGUGUGUGGUGGUGCCUGGCCAUAGGAUUUGGUUAGUCUCUGAAUGAGUUUGUGAGAUCAGUUUUCAUAUCCAUGGGGAACACAGAAGGGCCGUGAGGGCCUAUGGCACUCAGACAGUGACAUCAGGACCAGUGGGCUCAGAGUGUGUAUAGCUUGUGUUAACGUUUUCUUUUUUCCAAAUGAGGGGAGGGAGCACCACAAACACAAUCAAAGCUCCUGACAGAUUGCACAGUUCGAACAAGUUAACAGAGAUUUAGUUAUGGAAGUUGAGUUUGGAGUUACACAGCUGCCCUAUUGAACAGGAGUGAAGAUCUUCGGAAAGUGGUGUUGUGCUUCGAAUGAUACCUGCCAACGGCUGUGGCCUGGCCCAUCAUGCCUAGAGUCCAGAAUGGAAAGUGAUACUCCAGGAUCUAGCUUGUGGGUACUGACGUUGGAAUGGCAAGGAAGAUAUCUACAUGCACAGUCAUCAAACCAAGCUAAUCCAGAGAAUCCUGUUCUCUUUGCUGAGAACUGGUUCAGGGAAAGCAAAUAAAAUAUGAGGAAGGAUGCUAUGGAUUGAACUACGCUCAUGCACAACUAAUAAGAUGUAAAGGUACCUGGGUAAGGCUCAUAGCGCCCAUGAAAAGCUGGUAGGAACUGCCUCUCUUGUCCUGUCCUUGAAGGCCACACCUGCUCCCAUUUUCUGGCACCUUUGGUAUGCUGGUGGGAGAGACACCUUAGAGCAACUACAGAAAGACUUCACUGAGCCACAAGUGGGAGUCUAUGGUGCAAGAUGUCCUUGGCUUGCAGAUACUUCUCUCCAGAUGUGUCAGAAUUGCUAGUGUAAAGUUCACUCUUCUGCUCUCCAAGCUGGUCGAUGAGUGGCAUGAGUAGAGGGCUGCAUUUGGAGUGUAUAGUAACACUGUGAUCCUCAGAAUUUUGCAAAGCACAGAACGAAAUGAACUGAUGAGGGCUCCUGUACUGCUUUGAGGUUGGAAAGGGAAAGAACUGUGUGUUGUAUGUGUAAGAAGAAAAGGCUUGGAAGCAGAAUGACCUUUGAGAUCCUUCACAGUCUUCCCAACGCAUCAGCUAUCUCCAUAAACACCAGAUGAGCUGACAUGAGUACUGGUAGAACAAGAAGAUGGGAAUGUAGAAGAAACACAUUUGUCACCUCCAGAGAAGGGGACUAGACAUACCUCUAUAGACGGUCUCAUACGGGAUAGUUUGGAUUGAAUUAGGGGUAAGUGAGGCCAUGAGGCUGGGACCCUCAUAAUGGAAUCAGUGCUUUUACAAGAAGAAAGUGUGAGGUGGAGUGCUUGGUGGUUAAGAGCAUGUAUACAGUUCUUGCAG